UGCAUCAUGAAACAUGGCAAAAUAAAUUGUUGCUAAUUUACACGUAUUUUUCUGUAAUUUCAAAUACCGAAUUCAACUUCGUGUUAUAUGUAGAUGCAUACUGUCAGUCACUCCAAAAAGUUUACUUAGUCACCUUCCAUCCAUUAGCUCCUUGUGCUGUCAAAAGCCUAAAACUCAUAUUUGAAGCAUAUGGUGGAAUUAGACAAUGUGCAGAGAUAAGAUUUUUAUGUAAUGUAGGUAUUCUUGCUCGUGAACCGUAGGAUAUUUUCUGAAUCUUGCAAUUUUGGUUGUGUAACCUGUAGCAGCACGUUUGUUGUUAUGGCUGUUUCUACACUCGUUUAGAAGGCAACCCAGCUGUGAGAUAGAGUUUCAGCUUCAGUGACAUGAAGAGUUUGAAGUGAAUACCUGCAAUGUGCGUUACAUCUACCAUCUGCAUACUGAUCUGUGUGAAAAAAGUCAGCCUUACUGAAUUUGUCAGCCCCAAUGAUAAAAGAAAUUGAUUUCAACCAGAGGAGUAAUGCUGUUGGUAC